rnacentral:pre_miRNA from 1 species
CGGGGGGUGUGUGUGUUACUCAGCCUGGAUUGCAAGAGGGUGCAGGCCAGGCUGAGGGACCCUACCAGUGCACG